ACGCGGCGGACUGAGACACGGCCCGGACUCCUACGGGAGGCAGCAGUGGGGAAUAUUGGACAAUGGGAGAAACCCUGAUCCAGCCAUGCCGCGUGUGUGAAGAAGGCCUUUUGGUUGUAGAGCACUUUAAGCAGUGAAGAAGACUCUUCGAGUUAAUACCGUAGGAGACGAUGACAUACUAGCUGCAGAAUAAGCACCGG
rnacentral:rRNA from 1 species